GGGGAAUAUUGGACAAUGGGGGCAACCCUGAUCCAGCAAUGCCGCGUGUGUGAAGAAGGUUUUCGGAUUGUAAAGCACUUUCGACGGGGACGAUGAUGACGGUACCCGUAGAAGAAGCCCCGGCUAACUUCGUGCCAGCAGCCGCGGUAAUACGAAGGGGGCUAGCGUUGCUCGGAAUGACUGGGCGUAAAGGGCGUGUAGGCGGUUUGUACAGUCAGAUGUGAAAUCCCCGGGCUUAACCUGGGAGCUGCAUUUGAUACGUGCAGACUAGAGUGUGAGAGAGGGUUGUGGAAUUCCCAGUGUAGAGGUGAAAUUCGUAGAUAUUGGGAAGAACACCGGUGGCGAAGGCGGCAACCUGGCUCAUAACUGACGCUGAGGCGCGAAAGCGUGGGGAGCAAACAGGAUUAGAUACCCUGGUAGUCCACGCUGUAAACGAUGUGUGCUAGAUGUUGGGUAACUUAGUUAUUCAGUGUCGCAGUUAACGCGUUAAGCACACCGCCUGGGGAGUACGGCCGCAAGGUUGAAACUCUAAAGUGAAUUG
rnacentral:rRNA from 1 species